CUCGCCCCGCCCCGGCUCCUCCCCGCCGGGGUCCUCACCGUCCUCUGCGCCUGCCCCCGCCGCUCUGGGCCGUGAACGGGGAAUGGCGCCGGCCUUCGUCUAAGGAGCCGGGCCGCAGCGGGGAGAGCGAACGCCAACAUGGAUGAGGACCCAGAUCUGGAGAGGAAGGCUGUGGAAGAGUUACUUAAAGAAGCAAAACGUGGGAGAACCAGAGCUGAGACAAUGGGAGCUAUGGGUUGGUGUGUUUCGUGAGGACUUCUGGGAUUUCCUCAGCCCUUUGUCAGAGGAGUCCUGGAGAAGAGAUGCACAAACCCUGGAGACAUCUAGUGUAAGGCCAUCAGUCCUGCAUUGAUACUGGAUAGUUGAAGCAACUCGGCCUGUGAAGAAAAGAUUUGUUCUGCCACCUGUCUUUGGGUUGAAAUGUCCUCUUGCUGGUACAAAUAAAAGAUUUCUUAUUAAUACCAUCAAAAAUACAUUACCAUCUCAAAAAGAACAAGACCAAGAACGUGAGCAAAAGGAAGACAGUAAAGAGCCUGAGCCAAACAAAAGCAGGAGAGAAGAAAAACCAAAGAAACGCAGAAUUCACCCCUACACACCCAGCUUUCAGUCCAGAAGGAGAGUCAGCUACUCUCCUCCAAGGCACCAAAACAGGAACCAGCACACAAAGGAUAAGCACGAAAAGCGAUCAAGCAAGCGAUGAGGAGAGUGAUGAAUAUGUGUUGUUAGAAGCCAGGAAUAUCAUUAAGUGUCAGACUGCAGGGAUGUGUCAGUUUUUCAGGAAAAGAUGCUGUUCAAAAUUGCAUUUUGAACCGAGAUGUUUGUGUGAGAAGUAACCUUGAGGUAGCUUUAGAAAACUUCCUUGAGAUCUGUAAGAGAAAAGCAAAGUGCAGCAUAAAUCUUUCGAUUGUUUUAGAGCAGACAUUCCUUUCCCUUUGCUUCAUUCCUCUUUCCCCUUCUGACUAAGCUUAGGGUCUUGGUGAUGGAGCAUGAUACGUGUGUCACUGUCUGAUACAACUCAUUUAGUCAUGUCACCCUUUGGAAAUAAAUUUAAAGUGAGCAGAAAUCUAUUUAUUGUGCACAGCUGGCAGAACUUCUUUGCUGCUAACCAAUGAAGAAGUUUUGCCUGUUUGAGUUAGUUUAGUUUUACAUAAUCUAGAAGAAGGGAGAGCUGGUCAGUGCCUGGCAAAGCACAUGGAUUUUGUAUAGAAUAUAAGAAUUUGCUUUCUGUAGUACAAAAAGAACAAAUUUAAAAUGGGCAAUGCUUGUUUUGCUUUCCAGAGGAACUACCACGAAAUACUGAUUUGCUUGUUAUUGUAUAUUCACAAACCUGUCAAAGAUAGUAAACCUUACCAAUAAAAAGCCAUAACUGCAAUAAUUCUCUGUUUAGACUUCCCUCUGUAAGGAAAUAGUUUGAACAGUCUGUUGUCAUGGUGCUUUCAAAACAAACCUUGAAGUCAAAAUUAUCAUGUUCUCUGUUCACUGCUAGAAGUUUCCAAGUAAAUGUGUAAUACUAGAAGUGCAGAGGUGAUACUUAAAAACAGUCAAAUGCUCACGUUCCAAGCCUGUGUGACAAUUCUGUAGUGGUACAGUUCUUAAACUUGUGACUUGGAGCACAUAUAAUACACAUCAGCGUAUUCUAUGUCUCACUUCUGUUUGUGUUCCAAUAACAAACUUCCAUGUGAAAUAUUUUGUAUUUCAGUAUUCUCAAAAGCAGUUGUUUUGAACAUAGGUUUCCGGUUUUAAGUGUAUGGACAAUAAAAGUGAAAAUGUUCAUUAAAA